rnacentral:rRNA from 1 species
AUGGUAGGAUAGAGGCCUACCAUGGUGGUAACGGGUAACGGGGUGUUAGGGCACGACACCGGAGAGGGAGCCUGAGAAACGGCUACCACAUCCNAGGAAGGCAGCAGGCGCGCAAAUUACCCAAUCCCGACACGGGGAGGUAGUGACAAUAAAUAACAAUACAGGGUUCUUUGAAUCUUGUAAUUGGAAUGAGUACAAUUUAAAUCUCUUAACGAGGAACAAUUGGAGGGCAAGUCUGGUGCCAGCAGCCGCGGUAAUUCCAGCUCCAAUAGCGUAUAUNAAAGUUGUUGCAGUUAAAAAGCUCGUAGUUGAAUUUCGGGAUCAAUACGUCGGUCGUGCUUUCGGGUACGUACUGGCGUCAUUGGUUUCUCCUUUCUGACGAACCAUGAUGUCAUUAAUUUGGUGUUAUGGGGAGUUAGGACUGUUACUUUGAAAAAAUUAGAGUGUUUAAAGCAGGCAUUAGCUUGAAUACAUUAGCAUGGAAUAAUGAAAUAGGACGUUCGAUCCUAUNUUGUUGGUUUCUAGGAUCAACGUAAUGAUUAAUAGGGAUAGUUGGGGGCAUUAGUAUUCAAUUGUCAGAGGUGAAAUUCUUGGAUUUAUUGAAGACUAACUACUGCGAAAGCAUUUGCCAAGGAUGUUUUCAUUAAUCAAGAACGAAAGUUAGGGGAUCGAAGACGAUCAGAUACCGUCGUAGUCUUAACCAUAGACUAUGCCGACNAGGGAUCGGAUGAUGUUAAUUUUUUAAUGACUCANUCGGCGCCUUACGGGAAACCAAAGUGUUUGGG